rnacentral:lncRNA from 1 species
CAGGAUGAAGUGCAGUGGCAGGACCAUAGCUCACUGCAGCCUCAAUCAACUCCCAGAGCUCAAGCAAUCCUCCCACCUCAGCCUCCCAAGUAACUGGGACCACAG